CAGUCGUCAGGUGUAGGCAAAUCAUUUAUAGAUAGGACAGAGGACGCAGCUCAGAUGAAUCUCCGGAAAGAACUGAACAUCGCAGAGAAUGUGGAACUGCACGAAGGUUUUUAACGACGCCUCGCUUCGAUGUCCCGACAUAAACUUGGAAACCGACAUCAAUCACCUAUGGCUGCUGUGGCACGGAAGCAGUGUGGUGUGUAGGUCUUAAUGCACUUUGAAGACUUAUCGGCCAUACAUCCUGUGAAUGACCUUUUUGCUAAAGCCUAAUGUCUAGCAGUGGGUACAAUUCCGCAUCACCGAUGACCAGGGUGAAGUUGUAGCAGACGAAAUUUUCGACAUACAAUAGUAAAAUAUUGUUUACAGAAAUGCUUUUAUCAAUUAUGGAUGAAAGUCCACUGCUUGGAAUAUAAAUAAAACCGUAAAUAC